rnacentral:misc_RNA from 1 species
AAAAGUUGAAGCUGUAGAGUGGAAGUGUUCUCUAAGUUGCUUUGUGUGUUCAAUCCCUUGAGUUAGCUCAUUGAUGAGUGUCUUGUAUUCCCAGUUUGAUGCACAAUCCAUUUUGAAAGGGAGAAGUAAAGGGGGAGCUAUUCUGAAGUCCAGAAAGGCGUUCAAUUGGUGUACGAUGUGAACCUACUUACGAAUAGAAUGUCAUCAACGAGCAAGUUACUUCGAAAAACGAACACAAGCUUGGUAAAUGGAGUAAG